GUCCAUAGGUGAUUAGCAUAUUCUGAUAAGCAUUUCCAAUCAAUCAUCCGUUCCUCUGCAACAUUAAGGUCCAUCAUUCUGAAUUUAAUUAGCUUCUUAUUUAAAAUUUUAUAAUUGGAGUACCUUUCAAUUAACCAUAUACUAUCGCCAAGUUUGAAAGGGGAACUAUUAUGUAUAUCUCUGGAAAUUAGUGUGUAAUACUUCCACCUACAAUGAUGACGGUGUCGAUUUCUCAUGUUUUUAGAAAUUAGACUCCAUUGAAUAGGGGAUGAAGGAUUGCUUUGCAAGUAUUGAUUAACCGUUUUGAUUAAUUUUUCUUUCUCCUGGAUAGUCCAUGGUGAACGAUUGAUUUCACCAGGUUGAAUGUAGUCGCGCCAAUGAUCUCUGCAAUGCAUUGGUAGUCUAUUCGACAAUUUGCCAAUUAAGCUCCAGGAUGUUCCAUGUUUUUCAACAAGUCUAUUAGUUAGUUGCAAUUUGGAAAGUAAACUACAUACUUUUUCAAUUCUGCCUCAUCUUCUAUAGUCCAUUUACAUUUUUUCUUAAAUGGAUUAUAUUUUCUGCGGAGAUAAUUGUAAAUACUCUUUUUAUCCCUAUCG